rnacentral:SRP_RNA from 1 species
GCCAGGCGCGAUGGCUCACGCCUGUAAUCCCAGCACUUUGGGAGGCUGAGGCAGGCGGAUCACCUGAGGUCAGGAGUUCAAGAUCAGCCUGACCAACAUGGAGAAACCCUGUCUCUA